GACGAACGCUGGCGGCGUGCCUAAUACAUGCAAGUAGAACGCUGAAGCGAGGAGCUUGCUCUUCUUGGAUGAGUUGCGAACGGGUGAGUAACGCGUAGGUAACCUGCCUUGUAGCGGGGGAUAACUAUUGGAAACGAUAGCUAAUACCGCAUAACAAUGGAUGACACAUGUCAUUUAUUUGAAAGGGGCAAUUGCUCCACUACAAGAUGGACCUGCGUUGUAUUAGCUAGUAGGUGAGGUAAUGGCUCACCUAGGCGACGAUACAUAGCCGACCUGAGAGGGUGAGCGGCCACACUGGGACUGAGACACGGCCCAGACUCCUACGGGAGGCAGCAGUAGGGAAUCUUCGGCAAUGGGGGCAACCCUGACCGAGCAACGCCGCGUGAGUGAAGAAGGUUUUCGGAUCGUAAAGCUCUGUUGUAGGUCAAGAACGGGUGUGAGAGUGGAAAGUUCACACUGUGACGGUAGCUUACCAGAAAGGGACGGCUAACUACGUG
rnacentral:rRNA from 1 species